CCCGCUGAACUUAAGCAUAUCAAUAAGCGGAGGAAAAGAAACUAACAAGGAUUCCCCUAGUAACUGCGAGUGAAGCGGGAUAAGCUCAAAUUUAAAAUCUGGCGGUCUUUGCGGCCGUCCGAGUUGUAAUCUAGAGAAGUGUGUUCGCGCUAGUUAUGAGUAUAUAUAACUCGCCUGGAAUGGAGAGUGACAGAGGGUGAUAAUCCUGUAUCUGACAUGGACUGCGAGUGCUCUGUGAUAUUCUCUCAGAGAGUAGAGUUGUUGGGGAACGCAGCUCUAAAUGGGUGGUAUUUUACAUAUAAAGCUAUAUAUUGGCGAGAGACCGAUAGCGAACAAGUACCGUGAGAGAAAGAUGAAAAGAACUUUGGAAAGAGAGUUAAACUGUAUGUGAUAUUGUUGAAAGGGAAACGCUUGAAGUCAGUCACAUUGGUCAGAGAUCACUCUUGCUUUAUAGUCUGACGUAUUUUCUGAUUUUAAUGGGCCAGCAUCAAUUUUGAUCGAUGGAAAAAAACUAAAUGAAUGUAGCAUCUUUUGGAUGUGUUAUAGCUUUUAGUGGUAUACAUUGGUUGAGAUUGAGGAAUUCAGCAUGCCAUAUGGUUGAAUUUUUUAAAUUACAUUCAUGCUUAGGAUGCUGGCAUAAUGGCUUUAAUCGACCCGUCUUGAAACACGG
rnacentral:rRNA from 1 species